rnacentral:tRNA from 1 species
AAAGAAUUAGUUAAACUUAUAACAUUAGAAUGUCAAACUAAAAUUAUUAAAUUAUUAAUAUUCUUUA